rnacentral:tRNA from 1 species
UGUCCCAUGGUGUAACGGUAGCACUACGGAAUUUGGCUCCGCCGGUGGGGGUUCGAAUCCUCCUGGGACAG